rnacentral:rRNA from 1 species
UCAUUAUUGAAAUAAUCUGUGGGUGCUGUGCUGGCCUCUCGGGGCAUGUGCACGCACUUGCUAAUUAUCAUUAUCUUCUUGUGAACCUAGUGUAGUCGUUUUGGCUUUUGAAGUGUAUGGGGGCAACCCUGUAAGGCUUUGAAGGCUCGAGCGACUAUGAUUUUAUAUAAACUAUUGUCUGUCCUAGAAUGUUACUUUAUUGACUGCGAAGUCAGUAAACUUUAUACAACUUUCAGCAACGGAUCUCUUGGCUCUCCCAUCGAUGAAGAACGCAGCGAAAUGCGAUAAGUAAUGUGAAUUGCAGAAUUCAGUGAAUCAUCGAAUCUUUGAACGCACCUUGCGCCCUUUGGUAUUCCGAAGGGCAUGCCUGUUUGAGUGUCAUUAAAUUCUCAACCUUGAGCCAGUUUUGCGACUGGGUCAAGGCUUGGAUGUGAGGGCUUUGCUGGCUUCCUUCAGUGGAUGGUCUGCUCCCUUUAAAUGCAUUAGUGGGAUCCUUUGUGGACCGUCACUUGGUGUGAUAAUUAUCUACGCCUUGUUGACUGUGGAAGCAAAACUUAUGGGACCCUGCUUAUAACCGUCCUUCGGGACAAUUUAUUGACCAUUUGACCUC